rnacentral:misc_RNA from 1 species
CCAAUAGCGUAUAUUAAAGUUGUUGCAGUUAAAAAGCUCGUAGUUGAAUUUCGGGAUUGGCGCAUCGGUCGUGCCUCACGGGGUAUGAACUGGUGCAGUCAAUUUCUCACCUUCUGGAGAACCGCGAUGUCCUUAAUUGGAUGCCGCGGGGAACCAGGACCUUUACUUUGAAAAAAUUAGAGUGUUUAAAGAAGGCAUUUUUGCUUGAAUACAUUAGCAUGGAAUAAUAAAAUAGGACGGCAUGGUUCUAUUUUGUUGGUUUCUAGGACAACCGUAAUGAUUAAUAGGGAUAGUUGGGGGCAUUAGUAUUCAAUUGUCAGAGGUGAAAUUCUUGGAUUUAUUGAAGACUAACUACUGCGAAAGCAUUUGCCAAGGAUGUUUUCAUUAAUCAAGAACGAAAGUUAGGGGAUCGAAGACGAUCAGAUACCGUCGUAGUCUUAACCAUAAACUAUGCCGACUAGGAAUCAGACGAUGUUAAUUUUUUAAUGACUCGUUUGGCACCUUACG